rnacentral:rRNA from 1 species
GAUGAACGCUGACAGAAUGCUUAACACAUGCAAGUCUUUGGCGAAGCUGUGCUUGCACAGCCUAGCCAAGGCGGACGGGUGAGUAACGCGUAAGGAACUUGCCCUGCAGUCAGGGAUAACAGACGGAAACGACUGAUAAGACCUGGUAAAGUCAGGCGGACUCAUGUCCAGCCUGAUGAAAAGAGAUGCUGCAGGAGAGCCUUGCGUCCUAUUAGCUUGUUGGUGGGGUAACGGCCCACCAAGGCGAUGAUAGGUAGCCGGCCUGAGAGGGUGGACGGCCACAAGGGGACUGAGAUACGGCCCUUACGCCUACGGGAGGCAGCAGUGGGGAAUAUUGGACAAGGGGGGCAACCCUGAUCCAGCAAUUCUGUGUGCACGAUGAAGGUUUUCGGAUUGUAAAGUGCUUUCAGCAGGGAAGAAAAAAAUGACGGUACCUGCAGAAGAAGCGACGGCUAAAUACGUG